CCUACGGGGGGCUGCAGUGGGGAAUAUUGGACAAUGGGCGAAAGCCUGAUCCAGCCAUGCCGCGUGUGUGAAGAAGGCCUUCGGGUUGUAAAGCACUUUCAGUGGGGAAGAAAGCCUUGGGGCUAAUACCCUCGAGGAAGGACAUCACCCACAGAAGAAGCACCGGCUAACUCCGUGCCAGCAGCCGCGGUAAUACGGAGGGUGCGAGCGUUAAUCGGAAUUACUGGGCGUAAAGCGCGCGUAGGCGGUCUGAUAAGCCGGUUGUGAAAGCCCCGGGCUCAACCUGGGAACGGCAUCCGGAACUGUCAGGCUAGAGUGCAGGAGAGGAAGGUAGAAUUCCCGGUGUAGCGGUGAAAUGCGUAGAGAUCGGGAGGAAUACCAGUGGCGAAGGCGGCCUUCUGGACUGACACUGACGCUGAGGUGCGAAAGCGUGGGUAGCAAACAGGAUUAGAUACCUUGUAGUC
rnacentral:rRNA from 1 species